rnacentral:rRNA from 1 species
AUUGAACGCUAGCGGCAUGCCUAACACAUGCAAGUCGAACGAGUGGCGGACGGGUGGUUAAUGUCUGGGAAACUGCGCGAUGGAGGGGUAUAACUACUGGAAACGGUAGCUGAUACCGCACACAACCGGAUGUGCCCAGAUGGGAUUAGCUAGUAGGUGGGGUAACGGCUCACCUAGGCGACGAUCCCUAGCUGGUCUGAGAGGAUGACCAGCCACACUGGGCCUGAGACACGGUCCAGACUCCUACGGGAGGCAGCAGUGGGGAAUGUUGGACAAUGGGGGCAACCCUGAUGCAGCCAUCCCGCGUGUGCGAUGAAGGCCUUCGGGUUGUAAAGCACUUUUGGCAGGAAAGCGGUACCUGCAGAAUAAGCACCGGCUAACUCCGUGCCAGCCGCCGCGGUAAUAC